rnacentral:rRNA from 1 species
GAUGAACGCUGGCGGCGUACCUAAUACAUGCAAGUCGAGCGGACGGACGAGAAGCUUGCUUCUCUGAUGUUAGCGGCGGACGGGUGAGUAACACGUGGAUAACCUACCUAUAAGACUGGGAUAACUUCGGGAAACCGGAGCUAAUACCGGAUAAUCUUUUGAACCGCAUGGUUCAAAAGUGAAAGACGGUCUUGCUGUCACUUAUAGAUGGAUCCGCGCUGCAUUAGCUAGUUGGUAAGGUAACGGCUUACCAAGGCAACGAUGCAUAGCCGACCUGAGAGGGUGAUCGGCCACACUAGAACUGAGACACGGUCCAGACGCCUACGGGAGGCAGCAGUAGGGAAUCUUCCGCAAUGGGCGAAAGCCUGACGGAGCAACGCCGCGUGAGUGAUGAAGGUCUUCGGAUCGUAAAACUCUGUUAUUAGGGAAGAACAGAUGUGUAAGUAACUGUGCACAUCUUGACGGUACCUAAUCAGAAAGCCACGGCUAACUACGUG